rnacentral:rRNA from 1 species
AUGGGAGACCUUAACGAUAUCAUGUAUGAUGUAGAUAAAUGUAAAGUCAACGUAAGUUAUUACCGUAUGACUGCUUUCCACACUUUGGUGAAGAACCGUGGUCUCUUUGACAUCAGUUACAGCAGUCCGACUUAUACUUGGCGCACUAGACAACAUACUUUCAAUCCUCUUUACCAACAUUUAGACCGUUAUCUUAUUAAUUCUGAUUGGUGUGUUGUUUGCCCUAACACGAAAGCGCUUAAUUUUCCGAUUAUUUUGAGUGACCAUGCUCCUAUUAUAUGGCAGUUUCGUAGGCCGAAACAAUCGUUUAAGUUUGAGAAUUGGUGUUUAAUGAAGAGUGAUUUUCAGGCUCAUGCCAAAGCAGCUUGGAAUAUCAACAGGAAUGCACCGUUUUGUGUUAUGACUAAUGCUUUUGCUCUAUAUUAG